GCAAAGGCAUAACGACUUGGUUUGGAUGCAAAGCAUCAACUGAGUGUUAUGGAUGUCUUUAAGAAAGAGAAAGAGAAAAUCCUGACUGAAGGAAUGUCCACAUAAAUUAUUUUUAUUUAAAUGAAUUCAAAGGAUGGGGUGAGGGCAAGUGAGGAGUCACAUGGAAAACAUGCAUAAUAUUAAUAUGCACAAAGAAUUCUUACCGAGGACAAGCGCCUCACUACAGCUCAUGGGACAAACAGGUUCAUUAGGAGACAGCUCUGAGCGGCUACGGCAUUUUGGUAUUUUGAUUUUUUUUUUCCCCUUAGUUUAAACGAAGAGUCAGACAGAUGUGCCUUCUUUGCAUGAGAGCAUUGAGAUGGAUCCAAUCUGUGAAAUUUGCUGCCCAAAUAGCAUUUCUAAUGGAACCUGGGACUAAACAAGGGCUUGGAUGUGGAAGGGAGGGGAGAAGAGAGAACCCACGAAGAGGAGGCUACUCAGCCACUGCGAGGCUUUUGGUAGCACAGGAAGCUGUCAGAAGCCAUCUUUGCUCCACUGGUCCCAGGUGUGGGCUCCAGAUCCAGAGAGCCAUCAGGGUUCACCAAGAUGAACACUGAGCGGGCCCUUGUAGGUCUGAGGCAGAGGAAAGCGGCAACAGCAGCAGCGGCUCGGUGCCUACCCCCCUACCCCCUCAGUGGUCUUCAGCCCAGAAGCCAAAAGCACAGCUACUCCUUUGGGAUGCAGUAGAUUGCCUCCUGGUCCAGGUAUUUGUGGAAGAAGGAAUAUCUUGGUGCUAUCGAAGAGUGCGUUGCUAAAGAGCAGACGGCAUCAUCCGCUGCUUAAGGAGGCCUGAUAAUUGCGGUGCUGGUUGGUUCUCAGGAUUCGGCAUGGCCACAGAAAGAACAGUAUGACAUGGUUUCCUGUCCAGGAGCAGAGCCAACACAACAUGGGACUUCUCGAGUGCUGACAGUUGCUGUAGGAAUAAGCAAGAAGAUCUACAGUCCACUGUGAAGCAUACUGCGACUGUAAUGGCUCACAGCUACAGUGAAGGCAGGCACGGCCUUGCUCAUCAGACUGCGUCAGUUAUGAUCUAUGUCACAAGACACCCAAAGAGAGCUGAACUGACUGGACAUUCCACAUGACACCACACUGGCCCACUUUGUUGAUGGAUUAUAUUCACCAAAUCUAAUUAAACAAAAUGGGAUGUCUUCAUAAGAGAAAUGUACUC
rnacentral:lncRNA from 1 species